rnacentral:misc_RNA from 1 species
UAAUACAAUUUAGAAUCUCAACUCCCUGCCUCUCUCUCAAAUUGAUAUCGAUUCACUCAUCACAUAAAAAUUUAAAUUGUAAUGCCUUUCUUGCCAGCUCAAUCUGUUUCCUCAUGUUCUCAAAAUCCAAUAUUUAUUAAGAUAUUCAGACUUGAGUACAAUGCUCAUUCAGUUGAAAGUUCUCCUUACAACUUACAGUCUUAAAAUUUGUAAGAAUAAUUAACCUUGCUGAUCCUCCUUCCCAAUUUUUGAAUUGAGAACAAAAAUCAGAAUUACAAAAGCACAAACCAGCAAUACUUUCAUUCAAUCAUACUUCAUUUGCAAGAAGGAAAAGAAAAAACAAUUUAAAGAUUCAUACCUGCGAUCAAGAUACCGUGGCUGUAUUCCAGUGCCUUGACAUGUUGUACAUGUCAAAGAGCCAACACCAUCGCAAUUGAUACAUCGAGAGACUUCUUUCUCAUCGCCACCAAGCUCUACAGCCACAGAGCCAAUUCCCAUGCAAAAUCUGCAUCUCUCUGCGGCAAAAAAGUAACCCAUUGCGCAAGCAAGAAAUUGAAGACAUCAAAAUGUACAACACAGUCACGUCAUAUCCCAAAGACCAGAAUUUUUGUUAUCCUUCCAGCAUCGUAUCACUGAGUUUCAUUACUGCAAAAUAUGAAUUCUGAAUUGCUGCCUCGUAAGCAGCAACUAUCCUCCCCUUUUGUUUUAGCUGAAUUUUGCAUUGGUAUAAUUAUUUUCUGAUAAUGAAACUUUUAGAAUUGGUAGUCAUGUAAUGCACUGAAGUAGUUUGAAGUCAUAGCUUAAAACUAAUUGCAUUUAGACUUGACACAGCAAAGCAAUAUCCUUCACAAACUAUUGGGUUAAUAUUGGGCAACAAUAUUUGGACGUGAAUGCCACAUAGUAGCAGAUUCCAAAAUAUCAUUUUAAUUGAACAAAAACAGCUUCAGACUAAGUAAGAAUGCAUUGAAUUUAUUGGUGCCAUCUGAAUAAAUCAAACCAAACCAUCGAGACUGGAAGUUAUAACAAUUUAUCUUUAAAAAAAAAUAUUUAGACUUUAAUUGAAGAAAGAGUCACUUACGAGCACCGGAGCCAUUGCAAGGGAAGCACGGCUGGGUAUUUUCUCGCUUUGCAGCAUUAUCAAUUUGGGUUUCAUAGAAGACUGGAAUGCCAAUCCCAACUGCCACGCUCACAAGUCCAACAGAUAUUGCUACUAUCUGAUUUUCUUAUACAUUCAUAUUAGAACUCCUUAGAUACAGAGCGAAUUCAAAAAAUACACAGGCAUUAAUUUAAAUAAAAAAAAUGAUGGAGAAAGAACGGUGUUUUGAUCAAGAUCAGCAGCUCUAACGCAUGGAUAAGAUGCUGUAGAGCGUUGAUUUCUAGCAGACUUGAAGGAGGAUAGAGAGGAACAAGUAAAAGAAGAUAAUUUAAGAGGACAGCAUAGAAAUGAAGAGUGGAGACAAGGAAUCGAAGACGCCACUGGCAUUUCUGCUUUCCCUUUGUUCAAUUUUUUUUUUCUUUUGAAUGGCUUUGUAAUCGGAAGGUCCUGAAACGCAGUGGAGUGGAGAGGAGUGAAAGACCGCUAACCAAGGAACGGAAAUCUUGCGCCUUUGCUGUAUGGGAAUUGGACAUGUAGGUAGUUUGCCCAUCAGAUACUCCGUCUAGGUGGCACCCUCUCCGCCGCCGGUAUGGGAUGCAAAUAGAUUUUGGGAUUUUUCUGCUCAUAC